rnacentral:rRNA from 1 species
UACGUAGGGGGCAAGCGUUGUCCGGAAUUAUUGGGCGUAAAGAGCGUGUAGGCGGUUUGGUAGGUCCGCUGUGAAAAACUCGAGCUCAACCUCGAGACGCCGGUGGAAACCAUCAGACUAGAGUCCGGAAGAGGAGAGUGGAAUUCCUGGUGUAGCGGUGAAAUGCGCAGAUAUCAGGAAGAACACCCGUGGCUAAGGCGGCUCUCUAGUACGGUACUGACGCUGAGACGCGAAAGCGUGGGGAGCGAACAGG